AUUGAACGCUGGCGGCAGGCCUAACACAUGCAAGUCGAGCGGUAGAGCGAAGCUUGCUUCUCUUGAGAGCGGCGGACGGGUGAGUAAUGCCUAGGAAUCUGCCUGGUAGUGGGGGAUAACGUUCGGAAACGGACGCUAAUACCGCAUACGUCCUACGGGAGAAAGCAGGGGACCUUCGGGCCUUGCGCUAUCAGAUGAGCCUAGGUCGGAUUAGCUAGUUGGUGGGGUAAUGGCUCACCAAGGCGACGAUCCGUAACUGGUCUGAGAGGAUGAUCAGUCACACUGGAACUGAGACACGGUCCAGACUCCUACGGGAGGCAGCAGUGGGGAAUAUUGGACAAUGGGCGAAAGCCUGAUCCAGCCAUGCCGCGUGUGUGAAGAAGGUCUUCGGAUUGUAAAGCACUUUAAGUUGGGAGGAAGGGCAGUAAAUUAAUACUUUGCUGUUUUGACGUUACCGACAGAAUAAGCACCGGCUAACUCAGUG
rnacentral:rRNA from 1 species